UCUAAAUCAGACUUUUACCUCAGACUAGGCUGUUAGAGGUUCCUGCCUUUUAACCCCUGCAGAGCCUGGAGGGCUCACAGAACAAAUUGAAGAAAACAAACCAUGAAAUAUAAUGGGAAGAAAUCAUUCCUUCACAGCCGGCAAAAGUGAUUUAUAGGAAUAUGUAUUUGCCCAACAUUUGAGAUUCUUUCAAAACAGGAGAGCCAGCGUGGUGUAGCGGUUAGAGUGCUGGACUAGGACCAGGGAGACCCGAGUUCAAAUCCCCAUUCAGCCAUGAAACUAGCUGGGUGACUCUGGGCCAGUCACUUCUCUCUCAGCCUAACCUACUUCACAGGGUUGUUGUGAAAGAGAAACUCAAGUAUGUAGUACACCACUCUGGGCUCCUUGGAGGAAGAGCGGGAUAUAAAUGUAAUAAUAAUAAUAAUAAUAAUACUCCCAAGUACCUGCAUAGGAUUGCAGCCACCAUGUUUUAAAAGCCCUCAAGCUUACAUUGUGAUCUAACAGAGAAGAAAGUUGAAUACAAAUUUACUUGACACACCAGGAGCUUCAGAACCCAUCAGCCAUCUUGUGGUUACACACUCACUACAGAACAAGGAAGUUCUUCUUCCCAGACACCUCUGGUGACAGAAGCCUGUCCUACAACUAUUAACCUUUCAGUUCCCACAGUUUUGUUAUAAACACUUUACUACACUCCUCCCCAAUGAAUCUUUUAUUCAGCAUGCACAAAUUAAAGUUUGAGGUCAUCUCUUUCAGGUA